CGGGAUGAAGAACAAUUCUGGAUUUUAUAUGCAUUUGAUAUUGAAAACUGUAGAGUGCAUGUUUUCUAUCCGAAAAGGGGGAACCGUCCAAUGUGGGUGCUGGAGAAAAAGCACAAGAAGUUAUGCUACAGAUUGAUCGAGGCUCUUUGUAGAUGUGUUUAUAGGUUCUUUGAUGGAUGGAAUAUCAAUGCGGAAUCAUUCAAGUUCAUCUAUCACACCUUCCUUGAGAAGGCCAGCAACAGAUUUGACAGUUCAUUCUACAUUGUUCAUUGCAUUAUGAAUUACAUGGGGACUGGUCUGGAACAUUGAUGUACUGAGGAUGGGUUGAAGAAGAUAAGGGAGUACAUCGUACACAUGGUGCUGACAAUGGAUGGUAAUAUUGGAGUACCGCCGAAAUCCAUAGUGAGUCCUACGAUGCUGGAAUGAAGUACUGAUUGCCCAAGAAGUUUUAAAUAUAAUGUAAUAUAUAACGCAUAUGUCGGAUGUUUUAUGUGGUUUUCUGCAAUCUAGUACUAUGUUAAAUGCAGUUGAAUUCUGAGAUGCAUCACUCUGGUGUUGUGUAUUUGUGGAA